rnacentral:rRNA from 1 species
GACGAACGCUGGCGGCGUGCUUAACACAUGCAAGUCGAGCGAUGAAGCACCUUCGGGUGUGAAUUAGCGGCGAACGGGUGAGGAACACGUGAGAAAUCUGCCUUCAACUCUGGGAUAACUCCGUGAAAACGGGGCUAAUACCGGAUAUGAAACCUGCGGGCAUCCGCGGGUUUGGAAAGUUUUUCGGUUGAAGAUGAUCUCGCGGCCUAUCAGCUUGUUGGUGAGGUAAUGGCUCACCAAGGCGACGACGGGUAGCCGGCCUGAGAGGGCGACCGGCCACAGUGGGACUGAGACACGGCCCAGACUCCUACGGGAGGCAGCAGUGGGGAAUAUUGGGCAAUGGAGGAAACUCUGACCCAGCGACGCCGCGUGCGGGAUGAAGGCCUUCGGGUUGUAAACCGCUUUCAGCAGGGAAGAAGCGAAAGUGACGGUACCUGCAGAAGAAGCACCGGCUAACUAUGUGCCAGCAGCCGCUGUAA